rnacentral:misc_RNA from 1 species
GUGAAUCAUCAAAUUUUUGAACGCAAAUUGCACUCUCUUCGGAGAGUAUGCCUGCUUGAGGGUCAGCCUAAAAAAAAUCGACGUAGUCGCUGUUUCGCGGUGACAUUCGUCGGAAAUUGGGUCUUCUUAACCUUUUGGUUUUUUUAGGGGGCUUAAAUUUUUCUUUCGGUUUCAACAAAUUUUUCUAAUAUUUUCCUUCUUACACACUUUUAAGUUAUCGAUUUUUAUUAAACUUGCCGUUU